CUACGGGGUGCUGCAGUGGGGAAUAUUGCACAAUGGGCGCAAGCCUGAUGCAGCCAUGCCGCGUGUAUGAAGAAGGCCUUCGGGUUGUAAAGUACUUUCAGCGGGGAGGAAGGGAGUAAAGUUAAUACCUUUGCUCAUUGACGUUACUCGCAGAAGAAGCACCGGCUAACUCCGUGCCAGCAGCCGCGGUAAUACGGAGGGUGCAAGCGUUAAUCGGAAUUACUGGGCGUAAAGCGCACGCAGGCGGUUUGUUAAGUCAGAUGUGAAAUCCCCGGGCUCAACCUGGGAACUGCAUCUGAUACUGGCAAGCUUGAGUCUCGUAGAGGGGGGUAGAAUUCCAGGUGUAGCGGUGAAAUGCGUAGAGAUCUGGAGGAAUACCGGUGGCGAAGGCGGCCCCCUGGACGAAGACUGACGCUCAGGUGCGAAAGCGUGGGGAGCAAACAGGAUUAGAUACCCCAGUAGUC
rnacentral:rRNA from 1 species